CCUACGGGUGGCAGCAGUGGGGAAUAUUGCACAAUGGGGGGAACCCUGAUGCAGCGACGCCGCGUGAGUGAAGAAGUAUUUCGGUAUGUAAAGCUCUAUCAGCAGGGAAGAAAAUGACGGUACCUGACUAAGAAGCCCCGGCUAACUACGUGCCAGCAGCCGCGGUAAUACGUAGGGGGCAAGCGUUAUCCGGAUUUACUGGGUGGAAAGGGAGCGCAGACGGCUGUGCAAGUCUGGAGUGAAAGGCGGGGGUCCAACCCCCGGACUGCUCUGGAAACUGUAAAGCUGGAGUGCAGGAGAGGUAAGCGGAAUUCCGAGUGUAGCGGUGAAAUGCGUAGAUAUUAGGAGGAACACCAGUGGCGAAGGCGGCUUACUGGACUGCAACUGACGUUGAGGCUCGAAAGCGUGGGGAGCAAACAGGAUUAGAUACCCGGGUAGUC
rnacentral:rRNA from 1 species